rnacentral:rRNA from 1 species
AGGAUUCCCUAGUAACUGCGAGUGAAGCGGGAAAAGCUCAAAUUUAAAAUCUGGCGGUCUCUGGCCGUCCGAGUUGUAAUCUAGAGAAGUAAUGCCCGUGCUGGACCGUGUAUAAGUCUCCUGGGAUGGGGCGUCAUAGAGGGUGAGAAUCCCGUCUUUGACACGGACUACCAGUGCAUUGUGGUAUGCUCUCAAAGAGUCGAGUUGUUUGGGAAUGCAGCUCAAAAUGGGUGGUAAAUUCCAUCUAAAGCUAAAUAUUGGCGAGAGACCGAUAGCGAACAAGUACCGUGAGGGAAAGAUGAAAAGAACUUUGGAAAGAGAGUUAAACAGUACGUGAAAUUGCUGAAAGGGAAACGCUUGAAGUCAGUCGCGUUGGCCGGGGAUCAGCCUUGCUUUUGCAUGGUGUACUUUCUGGUUGACGGGUCAGCAUCAAUUUUGACCACUGGAAAAAGACCUGGGGAAUGUGGCAGCUUCGGCUGUGUUAUAGCCCCUAGUCGCAUACAGUGGUUGGGAUUGAGGAACUCAGCACGCCGCAAGGCCGGGUUUCGACCACGUUCGUGCUUAGGAUGCUGGCAUAAUGGCUUUAAGCGACCCGUCUUGAAACACGGACCAAGGAGUCUAACAUGCCUGCGAGUAUUUGGGUGGAAAACCCAAGUGCGCAAUGAAAGUGAAAGUUGAGAUCCCUGUCGUGGGGAGCAUCGACGCCCGGACCAGAACUUUUGGGACGGAUCCGCGGUGGAGCAUGUAUGUUGGGACCCGAAAGAUGGUGAACUAUGCCUGAAUAGGGUGAAGCCAGAGGAAACUCUGGUGGAGGCUCGUAGCGAUUCUGACGUGCAAAUCGAUCGUCAAAUUUGGGUAUAGGGGCGAAA